rnacentral:miRNA from 1 species
ACAUUCUUGGCAGUUGAGCAUU